AAGUCAUGCAAAGGACCCUUUUCUGACUGAACCCAGAGGCUAAGGGCUAGUGUAGUCUCGUGCAAAUGAAGUUGUCUUCUAUAAACCAGCACACCGUGGAUGAGGCCCGGCGCCCACAAAACUGAAAAGGGAUGGAAAGAUGAAUAGAUGGAGGCCUUCAGGAGUUUGAGGUUUUCUGAAGGAGGACAAAUCAUUCCUGGAGCCUUGGAGAGCAGCACCCACUUGGGAGUUCUUCUCUGUCAAGGGGUUUGAGGAGUGCUUCAGGGCAGGGUAGAUCAAAUCCGCUGAUAAUUCUUAGGUCACCGUGACUCAGAGCCUCUGAUGAUGGCAUGGCUCCCGUGGGGACAGGUAUGCCUGCAUGGAAGACACCAGCUGGUCAUCCUCCAGGGCCUGGGUGUACUGUUGAGGCUGGGAACCCUGAGAGCAGUCAGUGUUCAGGACCCUCCGGCUAUAAUGAAGCCAGCCAUUCAAACCGACAGCUGGGUUUGGCCAACGGCAGAUCUCAGUAACUUCACAAGACAGGCCUUGAAUCCAGGCUGCGGCAGGACCACAGCAACCUGCCCACCCACCCAGACAUCUGUCCACUCAUUCACUCUUGGAGAGCAUUUAAAUCCUGACUCUUGGGCUGGCGAAAUGGAUCCGUGGAUGAAGAUGCUUGCUUUCAAGACUGAUAACCUGGGUUUCCUUUCUGGGACCCACAAGGUGGAAGGAGAGAACGAUUUCCUGCAAGCUGCCCUCUGACCUCUGAAUGUCCAGUAUGGGGCACACAUAUAUACACACAGAUAAAAUGAAUGCAGUAAAUUCCUACUUUCCUCAA